rnacentral:lncRNA from 1 species
AAAUAUAAAAAAUAUACAUGACAGACUUCAAAAUUAACAUGCAAUAGCUUUCAGAAUUACCGUUAAAAUCAUUCCUAAGAAUUAAUUCUGAUUAAAGGGCAUUAUCAACAUAUACUCUGAUUAAUUCUGAUUAAUAGAUACCAUUUGAUAUUUUAAUUUACCAUUUUAAUUCAAUUAAUGUAGUUUCCAUAAAAUUCAAGGGUGCCAAUAGAUAUUUCACUUCUUGAAUGUAUGUUGCGUUACACGUAACCUAGGUUUGGCCAUUUGAUAAUCGUAUGUUAUUAUUUAAAAAAAUAAAAAGAACAUUGGAAAGAAUGAAAAAUAGAUGUAUAAUUGAUAAAAGAAGGCAAAUAUAUCCAUAAACAUAAAGAAUACAAGGACUCGUGUGAAAUUCGCCAGAAGAAAAAAGACAAAAAACGUAAGUUACGCUUAACGUAACUUAGAGGCGCCCCUCGACUCAAUUAAACACAUGACCGGCAACUGUAGUGGGAUUUAUAUCAAGGCUCCGCAAGUUACAUUUAACGUAACUUACGGCGACCCAUAAAAUAUCAACUAACCCCUUAUAAUCUCUAUUAUUUAUAAUUU